UACCUCUGACAUGACUGAUGCA
rnacentral:miRNA from 1 species